rnacentral:rRNA from 1 species
CCUGCAAAGCAGACCGCGAACACGUGUUUAAACAAAUCGGGGCCGUGGCCAGCCGCGGCCCCAACCCCGCCGGCGUGUGCGCUCGCGUUGCGCCGUGCGGCCUAACAAAUUCGGGCGCGGAAUGCGCCAAGGAAAACGCAACGGAGCGUCCCACUUCCCACGCCCCGUACGCGGAUUGCGGGGGAGGUCGGGUCGCCUUUCGAAUACCAAAACGACUCUCGGCAACGGAUAUCUCGGCUCUCGCAUCGAUGAAGAACGUAGCGAAAUGCGAUACUUGGUGUGAAUUGCAGAAUCCCGUGAACCAUCGAGUCUUUGAACGCAAGUUGCGCCCGAAGCCAUCCGGCCGAGGGCACGCCUGCCUGGGCGUCACGCAUCGCGUCACCCCCCUCCGCGCGCAUCGUCCGCGGGCGGGGUGGAGAUUGGCCUCCCGUGCGCCCUCCGUGCGGCCGGCCCAAAUGCGAUCCCUCGGCGGCGCACGUCACGACCAGUGGUGGUUGAACGAUCAACUCGCGUGCUGUCGUGCCUCAAUGCGCCGCCCGUCCNGGAGAUCGAAGGCCCAACGGCGCNUGCGAGCAUCGCGCUCCGA